rnacentral:rRNA from 1 species
AGCGAACGCUGGCGGCAGGCCUAACACAUGCAAGUCGAACGCACCUUCGGGUGAGUGGCGGACGGGUGAGUAACACGUGGGAACGUACCUUUUGGUUCGGAAUAACGCAGGGAAACUUGUGCUAAUACCGAAUGUGCCCCUUCGGGGGGAAAGAUUUAUCGCCAUUAGAGCGGCCCGCGUUAGAUUAGCUAGUUGGUGGG